AUGAAGUUCAAUCCCUUUGUGACUUCUGACCGAAGUAGUAACUGCAAAAGGCAUUUCAAUGCGCCUUCCCACAUUCACAGGACAGUUAUGUCUUCCCCUCUUUCCAAAGAGCUGAGACAGAAGUACAACGUUUGAUCCAUGCCCGUCUGAAAGGAUGAUGAUAUUCAGGUUGUGUGAGGGCACCAUAAAGGUCAGCAAAUUGGCAAAGUAGUCCAGAUUUACAGAGAGAAAUAUGUCAUCUACAUUGAAUGGGUGCAGCGGGAAAAGGCUGAUGACACAACUGUCCGUGUAGACUUUCGCCCCAGCAAGGGGAUUAUCAGUAGACUAAAACUGGGCAAAGAGCACAAAAAGAUCCUUGCAUGGAAAGCCAAAUCUCACCAAGUAGGAAAGGAAAAGGGCAAAUACAAGGAGGAAACAAUUGAGAACAUGCAGGAA
rnacentral:lncRNA from 1 species